rnacentral:rRNA from 1 species
AUUGAACGCUGGCGGCAGGCCUAACACAUGCAAGUCGAGCGGAGCGGCGGACGGGUGAGUAAUGCCUAGGAAUCUGCCUGGUAGUGGGGGAUAACGUCCGGAAACGGGCGCUAAUACCGCAUACUAUCAGAUGAGCCUAGGUCGGAGUAGCUAGUUGGUGGGGUAAAGGCCUACCAAGGCGACGAGCCGUAACUGGUCUGAGAGGAUGAGCAGUCACACGGGAUAGUAGACACGGUCCAGACUACUACGGGAGGCAGCAGUGGGGAAUAUGGGACAAGGGGCGAAAGAUUGAGCCCGCCAUGCCGCGGGUGUGAAGAAGGUCUGCGGAGUGUAAAGCACUUUAAGUUGGGAGGCGUGACCAACAGAAUAAGCACCGGCUAACUUCGUGCCAGCAGCCGCGGUAAUA